CCUACGGGCCGCAGCAGUGGGGAAUAUUGCACAAUGGGCGCAAGCCUGAUGCAGCCAUGCCGCGUGUAUGAAGAAGGCCUUCGGGUUGUAAAGUACUUUCAGCGGGGAGGAAGGCGAUAAGGUUAAUAACCUUGUCGAUUGACGUUACCCGCAGAAGAAGCACCGGCUAACUCCGUGCCAGCAGCCGCGGUAAUACGGAGGGUGCAAGCGUUAAUCGGAAUUACUGGGCGUAAAGCGCACGCAGGCGGUCUGUCAAGUCGGAUGUGAAAUCCCCGGGCUCAACCUGGGAACUGCAUUCGAAACUGGCAGGCUAGAGUCCUGUAGAGGGGGGUAGAAUUCCAGGUGUAGCGGUGAAAUGCGUAGAGAUCUGGUGGAAUACCGGUGGCGAAGGCGGCCCCCUGGACAAAGACUGAUGCUCAGGUGCGAAAGCGUGGGGAGCAAUCAGGAUUAGAUACCCUAGUAGUC
rnacentral:rRNA from 1 species